rnacentral:rRNA from 1 species
CCCGCUGAACUUAAGCAUAUUAAUAAGCGGAGGAAAAGAAACUAACUAGGAUUUCCACAGUAACUGCGAGUGAAGUGGAAAAAGCUCAAGCUUAAAAUCUGGGGCGGUUUAACGUCUCCGAAUUGUAGUUUUGUGAACGACUUCACGGACAAGGCUACCAUAGUUAAAGUUCCCUGGAACGGGACGCCAAAGAAGGUGAUAGCCCUGUAAAUGGCUAUGGUUUUUUUUGGUCUUGUCAAUACGUGCUGUUUGAUUCAAAGAGUCAGGUUGUUUGGGAGUACAGCCUAAAGUGGGAGGUAAAAUUCCUUCUAAAGCUAAAUACUGGCGAGAGACCGAUAGCGAACAAGUACCGUGAGGGAAAGAUGCAAAGAACUUGAAAAGAGAGUUAAAAGUGCUUGAAAUUGUAAAAGGGAAGCGGUUGGAGGCAGUACCUGCCUACCAUUGACUCACCUGCUUAGAUUUGAUGGUGGUGGGAAGGUUUGAGUACUCUUUUGUGGGUGCCUCCUUUUUAUUACUGUUGGGUUUAAGUAGGGCAUUUCAGUGGUUUGGUGCGUCAGCAUCGGCGAGAGGUCUUUUGUGGGAGAAUGGGGAGAAGAAGGUGCCAUGGCAGUAAUCCUCGUGGUUAUUGUUGUGGGUUAUAGCUUCUUUCAGAUACCACAACUUUCGCCGAGGCAACUAAUUUUGGUUGAUAACCGGCGCUAUGCGGGGAACAGACGGGGCUGAGUAGUGGUAGCGUUGGAGACAGCUUGCUGUGUCUGGUGACUAUCUAUUAUUCACUUACCUGCCUGCCACCUUUGCUGGUUAGUGAUGCUGACCGAAUGUUUCCAACCGUCCCGUCUUGAAACACGG